rnacentral:lncRNA from 1 species
AUGUCAAAUGCAAAAUCAAGCAAUGGACACAAUUUUGUUUCACUUAUUCCUCGAUUCAACGAUGAUAAUUACGAUUAUUGGAGCAACAAUAUGAAGGUGCUGCUAAAAGCCGUGGAGUUGUGGAAUAUGGUUGAAAACGGUUAUGAGGAGCCUGAAGAUGAACAGGCGCUUACUCAAGCACAAAGAAAUGCAUUGAAGGAGAAUCGAAAGAAGGAUAGCAAGACCCUUUCCACAUCUAUCAAACAGUUGAGAUGCUAG